UACAGAGGUCCCAAGCGUUGUUCGGAUUCACUGGGCGUAAAGGGUGCGUAGGCGGUCGGGUAAGUCUGAUGUGAAAUCUCACAGCUUAACCGUGAAACUGCAUUGGAUACUAUUCGGCUUGAGAGUUGGAGGGGGGACUGGAAUUCUUGGUGUAGCAGUGAAAUGCGUAGAUAUCAAGAGGAACACCAGUGGCGAAGGCGAGUCCCUGGACAACUUCUGACGCUGAGGCACGAAAGCUAGGGGAGCAAACGGG
rnacentral:rRNA from 1 species